ACAGAGGAGAAUCCAGAUGAGUGUGAUCCUGAUAUUCCUGAAGGAAUUCUCUUCUGCAAGGAAAGGAGGGAAAGCAAGCUUGUCAGUAUCCACUGCUAAUCGACUCUAUUGAGUAUCGUCUUUCCAAGUGAAUUUUGAUGUUCUAUCUCCUGCGUCUGAAGCUCUCCUGAUACUCCUUCAGUAUUCACUGUAGUGUUGAUACCAACUAGUCUCUCAAAGAAUAUUGCCAUCUUGAAGGAAUGAUUUCACUUACUUUUCAACUUCUGGAAAUACAGGGAGAUGGCAGGGAAUAGAGAAACGGGCAAAACUUUGGAACAGUAUAGACCAGACCUGGAUUUGGAUCUCAGCUCUAACUCUGUGCCUUUGGAGGAGAGGUCAUGUGAGGACACAGUGAGAAGGCAGCCGUCUGCAAGCUAAGGAGAGAGGCCUCAUAAGAACUGAAUUUUCCAGCACCUUGAGUUGGAAUUCUACCCUAUAGAACAUAAAGAUUUUAGCCCAACGAUCAAAUGCAUCAACAUGAUCCCACGUGAUUGCCUCCUGCAUGAGAACAGAAAGUCGUUGCGAAAUCUGGAGAGGGAUUAUGGCAGAAAUGAGAAACAUUUCUGUAGGACUGAGCACGGGUCUGGGGACCUAGAAAGCACUGGCUAUGCAUUUAAUCAAGAACCUCCUGCCCACACAUCCCCACCACAUCCUAAUUAUAUUCAUACUUGAUAUUUUACCAAUUAUCCAUGCAACAGCUACCUAGGGCAUCUACUCCCUGGUUAGGCAAAAACAAACAAAACCCCAAAACAACAGCAACAACAAAAAAAGGAAACAAACACUUCUUUUGAGUAUGCUUUCUUAUUCAAAUUAGUUUCCUAAAUAAGAAUGUGUGAAUCUGCAAUGUAGGCCAGCGCAUUGAAUAAAAAUGAUU